AAUAUCUGAAACGUUGGUGUGGCGUCAAGAUACACAAUAUCGCCAAGCCGCCUUUCAGGUAUACC
rnacentral:pre_miRNA from 1 species